rnacentral:lncRNA from 13 species
CUUAUCUCCUCAUACAAUUUUCUUACAAUAAGCUUUUGCCUUCUGCUUUUCUAUUUACUUCUAGAAGUAUAAGACAAGCAUAUAAUAGGUCACUAAGACCCAGAAGUGGCAUACCAGUUCCAAAUGAACACAGCAAUAUAUGUGACCUCAGAGAACCUUUCUGGAAUCAUAAUAGUGGUAGAUGAUUUCUUAUUUCUGCUCUGUGGACAAAGGUUAUGAAAAGUUUGUUAAUUACAGCUAUUCCAGAGCCUGACUCUCAGUUGACUAAUUCUAUAAGUCAGAUCACACCUCCCCUUUUACAGAUAACAUUGCUUGAAGGAAGACAGAACUAUGCUACUCAAGAAUCAUGACGAACAGAUCAUAUAGACAGGGGUUUGCAGUGUUGCCCAGACUGAAAUGCAGUUUUGUGACCUCAGCUCACCACAACCUCCACCUCCUGCUCCUGCCUCAGCCUCUUGAGUAGCUGGGAUUACAGGCACGCAACCACACCAAGCUAACGUUUGUACUUCAGUAGAGAAAAGGUUUCAUCCUUUUCGCCAGGCUGGGCUGAAACUCCUGACCUCAAGUUAUCUACAUUCUUUGGACUCCCAAAGUGUUAGGAUUGCAAGCAUGAGUCACCACACCUGGCUCCAACCCAGAUUUUUAAGGCUCUCCCAAGGAUAAUUUCCUUAAAGCACAAACUAGUUUAUGUCUGUUGAUUAACAUUCUUUUAUGAAUUUCUCCAGUUUUCAGAAUAAAAUAUUGUAUUUUACUUUUAUUUUCA